UGAUGACGGUCUCCGGAAUCGCUGCACUGCCCUGAUGAAAGCACGUGUGAACCCUUUUCCAUCUGACGGCCGAGCGCCUGCGUC